GGCGUAAAGGGCUCGCAGCGCGGUUUCUUAAGUCUGAUGUGAAAGCCCCCGGCUCAACCGGGGAGGGUCAUUGGAAACUGGGAAACUUGAGUGCAGAAGAGGAGAGUGGAAUUCCACGUGUAGCGGUGAAAUGCGUAGAGAUGUGGAGGAACACCAGUGGCGAAGGCGACUCUCUGGUCUGUAACUGACGCUGAGGAGCGAAAGCGUGGGGAGCGAACAGGAUUAGAUACCCC
rnacentral:rRNA from 1 species